UACGUAGGUGGCAAGCGUUGUCCGGAUUUAUUGGGUUUAAAGGGUGCGUAGGCGGCUUUGUAAGUCAGUGGUGAAAUAUGGCAGCUCAACUGUCAAGGUGCCAUUGAUACUGCGGAGCUUGAGUACAGAUGAGGUAGGCGGAAUUGACGGUGUAGCGGUGAAAUGCUUAGAUAUCGUCAAGAACACCUAUAGCGAAGGCAGCUUACUAGGCUGUAACUGACGCUGAGGAACGAAAGCUAGGGGAGCGAACGGG
rnacentral:rRNA from 1 species